UGGUGAAGCAUAGUUGCAGUGGAAGACAACAGUGAUUUGGAAAUGCCAGUACCAUGAGAUUACCACCAAGACCAGCAGCAGCUGUGGAGUACAGGCAACUGGAGCCUAGAAAACAAGUUUAGCUUUCCCCUUUCCAGGUUUCUUGAAUCAAGAAUUAAGCUUUCCCAGGUUAGCUUGAAUCAAGCUGCCAGCAGUCCACUAACCAUGGGACCCAAUGUUGUUUGAGAACGAACGUAAACCCAUGUGCAUGAAAGGUUGGGGUUGAUGCUAGAUCCUGAACAAAAGAAAC
rnacentral:lncRNA from 1 species